AUUGAACGCUAGCGGGAUGCUUUACACAUGCAAGUCGAACGAGUGGCGGACGGGUGAGUAAUAUAUCGGAACGUGCCCAGUAGCGGGGGAUAACUACUGGAAAGGGUGGCUAAUACCGCAUACUAUCGGAGCGACCGAUAUGGGAUUAGCUAGUAGGUGGGGUAAAGGCUCACCAAGGCAACGAUCCGUAGCUGGUUUGAGAGGAUGACCAGCCACACUGGGACUGAGCCACGGCCCAGACUCCUACGGGAGGCAGCAGUGGGGAAUUUUGGACAAUGGGGGAAACCCUGAUCCAGCCAUCCCGCGUGUAUGAGAAGGCCUUCGGGUUGUAAAGUACUUUUGGCAGAGAAGCGGUAUCGGCAGAAUAAGCACCGGCUAACUACGUGCCAGCCGCCGCGGUAAUUC
rnacentral:rRNA from 1 species